GUAACGCCUGCCGGCCGCAUUGAUACUCUUCAUCAUUCACUUUACCUCAUCCCUUUCCCAGAGUAACCGAGAAAAGCUUAUACUAUAAAUAUCUCCACUUCUAUCGAUGAGCAGCACGGAUUCGACGAGAUCCAGAAGAAUAGUCUUUUCACUUACUGAUCACUGCGAUGGCGAAUUACUUUACCCUCCUUGCAGAUUUGAAAGCUGGGCGAUGCUCCAACACUGCGGAGGUUCGUUUGCUGAGAUUUUGGGAGGCAUGCAAUGUCAGAAAGCGUCUCACUGCGGAGAGAUGAUUGGUGAGCUAAAUGCAAUCCGGAGUACAAUCACCGAUCGUAUACCGGGGGCACAGUGUGUAAUGCUUACACUGUGUCUAAAAAGUGGUGAUAACGUUUGUGUUAGUAUGUUUGACUCUAUAUGGCUCUUGCGUUUCAUAGCAAAUUUGAGAGCUACGGGAAAGAACCCAAAAUUGUGCUUGCCACAAGCGUAAAUCCUAAGAUAGUUGGGGAUAAAUUUACAAAAUCAUUACAGCACCACCAUGGCAAAAAAGGUGAAGAACAUAGUGGAACUACAGAAAAGACCAAAAGAGAAUCUUUAUCUAAGCCAAAGAGACAUAAGGGAGCUGAAAUGUUUCCUUUUCUUCUUGGCAGUGAUUACAGUCCGGAUGUCUUUGUCGAUAAGCCGGAAUACCUCAGCUGUGGAGAGGGAGAUUUUGUUGUGAAUGACGUUAUUGCGCUGCUUCCACAGAUGAAAAACAAUAGCUUGGCCGGUUAUUUCUGAAUGCUACUUAUGCCACACAUCUCUAUUUUGACUCUGAGACUGCCGCAUGAAAAGAUGUGUUUGACAGGCAA